ACUACAGCAUCAGCUUUCCCGGUUCUCAGGCCUUCAGAUUCUACUGGAACCAAACCAUUGUCUCCCGGGUCUCCAGCUCGCUGACCCACCCUGCAGGUCUUGGGAUCUGCCAUCCUUCAUAACCAUAAUGGGAGCGGCAACACUACCUUACGGUUACCGGAGCAUGGACUGUGGUGUUAGAGAAUCCUGGCAUUGGAGAAUGGGCCAACAUUCAAUUCCACCAUCUGACUUGUUUGUAUUAUAUUGGGCAGCCGAUGCCAUGUGUCUGGAGGUUCUUGGACAGAAGACUGGUACAUCUGAAAUAGCGCUCCUGACAGAAGCAGAUCAAACAUUAGACCCUCCAAUGCUCUGCUCAUCACUUCAUUAAAAAAACGGUAUCGGGUAUUCGUGGUGAAAUAUAACACGUAAUCCACUGUAAAUUAUUUUUGUAGGAUGAAUUAUUUCCUUGUGAUUGCCAUUCUUAUUUUAAGAUUUUAUUUGGAAGACAACCCUCAAACCUACCAGCCAAAAAAUAAAUGAAUUGCUCUCUCUUUGGGUAGAUAAAUA
rnacentral:lncRNA from 13 species